AUGUAGAUUUGCCAAACUUACUGUGAAGUAAGGACGGAAAGCCACGGGUCUUUGUCAUCAAAUAAAGAUAGCCGGGUUGCGUAG
rfam:Thiomicrospira crunogena XCL-2, complete genome.